rnacentral:rRNA from 2 species
AGCGGACAGAAGGGAGCUUGCUCCCGGAUGUUGCCGGCGGACGGGUGAGUAGCACGUGGGUAACCUGCCUGUAAUACUGGGAUAACUCCGGGAAACCGGAGCUAAUACCGGAUAGUUCCUUGAACCGCAUGGUUCACGGAUGAAAGACUGUUUCGGCUGUCUGUUACAAAUGGACCCGCGGCACAUUACCUAGUUGGUGAGGUAACGGCUCACCACGGCGACGAUGCGUAACCGACCUGAGAGGCUGAUCGGCCGCACUGGGACUGAAACACGGACCAGACUCCUACGGGAGGCAGCAGUAGGGAAUCUUCCUAAAUGGACGAAAGUCUGACGGAGCAUCGCCGCGUGAGUGAUGAAGGUUUUCGGAUCGUAAAGCUCUGUUGUUAUGGAACAACGACUGCAAGAGUAACUGCUUGCACCUUGCCAGUACCUAACCAAAUAACCGCGGCUAACUACGUGCCAGCCGCCUCUGUAAUACGUAGGUGGCAAGCGGUGUCCGGAAUUAUUGGGCGUAAAGGGCUCGCAGGCGGUUUCUUAAGUCUGAUGUGAAAGCCCCCGGCUCAGCCGGGGAGGGUCAUUGGAAACUGGGAAACAUGACUGC